rnacentral:rRNA from 1 species
UACAGAGGUCCCAAGCGUUGUUCGGAUUCAUUGGGCGUAAAGGGUGUGUAGGUGGCGCCGUAAGUCGGGUGUGAAAUCUCGGGGCUUAACUCCGAAACUGCAUUCGAUACUGCGGUGCUUGAGGACUGGAGAGGAGACUGGAAUUCAUGGUGUAGCAGUGAAAUGCGUAGAGAUCAUGAGGAAGACCAGUGGCGAAGGCGGUUCUCUGGGCAUGUCCUGACGCUGAGGAGCGAAAGUGUGGGGAGCGAACAGG